rnacentral:rRNA from 1 species
UACGGAGGGUGCAAGCGUUGUCCGGAUUUAUUGGGUUAAAGGGUGCGUAGGCGGCCCUGUAAGUCAGUGGUGAAGACCUCCAGCUCAACUGGAGACUGCCAUUGAUACUGCAGGGCUUGAGUACAGACGAGGUUGGCGGAAUUGAUAGUGUAGCGGUGAAAUGCAUAGAUACUAUCAAGAACUCCGAUUGCGUAGGCAGCUAACUAGGCUGUAAACUG